rnacentral:rRNA from 1 species
UACGUAGGUGGCAAGCGUUGUCCGGAUUUAUUGGGUUUAAAGGGUGCGUAGGCGGUCCUAUAAGUCAGUGCUGAAAUAUCCCGGCUUAACAGAUGGGCUGCGGAGGAUACUAUGGAGCUAGGAGGCGGGAGAGGCAAGCGGUACUUAGUGGGUAGGGGUAAAAUCCGUUGAUCCAUUGAAGACCACCAGUGGCGAAGGCGGCUUGCCAGAACGCACUCGACGGUGAGGGAUGAAAGCUGGGGGAGCAAACCGG